AGUGAUGCUGGUGGAUACCCAGGGAUAGAACUGCACUUACGGAUCGUUACCACCUGCUCCUCCCUCUCAAGGAAUGCUUUUCCCCACAUAAAUGGAUUUGAUUAAAAAAUAAAGGAGCCUUCAUUCUCCACAUCACAACUGGGUGCCGGGGCCCGGCAGGACUCUGGAUUCGGAUGAUCUUCGUUGAGGCAAUAAGUUUCACAGACAUUGUGUCAAAACACUAGAAUGCUUUCUACUCGUAGGACACUAGUCUAACUCCCUACAGGAUGGAUUCAAGACCUUUACCAGGCAUAUGCCUUGCAUGAGGAUUCUAAGCCUAAGUGAACGUCGCUUGCACUGAUGUGAAUCUCACCUUCUUGCACCUAGUCUGUCACCUGUGGAAAGCAUUUUCCCAAUCCCUGUGUGAACUGCCAUGCUAACUUCUUCUUCUAAAA